GGGCAACGUAUUAUGUGGACCCAGACCAUGUAACACAAGACCCCUCCCCAUCCAAUCGUUGGCAUCUCAUACCUGCUCAAGCUAGCAGUUCAAGGAGGAGACAGCAACCCAAGCUGAAAUGAUGGUGACCAUCGGUCUUGCUGAAUGGAUUAGCCGUGAAGCUCCACCCGGUUGGCUGGUCUGCCACCCUCAUCACACCGAUAAAGACAGCUCACCGGCUGGGACUCCUAAGAUCUACCCCAGGCCAGGGAAGGGAGGCAGGAAAGGAAAGACCACACUGCACAUUUGCGAGAUUUAGAUUUCUAAUCUUAGGAGCACACAGAGGUCAGAGAACAGCACAUAUCCCCCGGAACUGAAGUGAUGAGGAGUUGUAAGUAGCCAAAGAAACCAUGCCUGGGUCCUCUGCAAUGGUAGGGUAUGCUUCUAGCUCACGAGCC
rnacentral:sRNA from 1 species